GGAAGGUUGAUGAAUCUAGCAGAUCCUGGCUGGCUGGUGGUUCCGGCAGAUCCUGGCUGACUGGCGGUUCCGGCAGAUCCUGGCUGACUGGCGGUUCCGGCAGAUCCUGGCUGACUGGCGGAUCCUGGCUGAAUGGCGGGUCCUGGCUGACUGGCGGAUCUGGAAGAUCCUGGCGGAUCCUGGCUGACUGGCAGUUCUGGCGGAUCCUGGCUGACUGGCAGUUCUGGCGGAUUCUGGCUGACUGGCAGCCUGACGGCUCUGGCAGAUCCUGGCUGACUGGCGGACUGGCGGAUCCUGGCUGACUGGCGGAUCCUGGCUGACUGGCGGAUCCUGGCUGACUGGCGGAUCCUGGCUGACUGGCGGAUCCUGGCUGAAUGGCGGAUCCUGGCUGACUGGCGGAUCCUGGCUGACUGGCGGAUCCUGGCUGAAUGGCGGAUCUAACUGAUCCUGGCAGACUGGUGGCUCUGGCGGAUCCUGGCAGACUGGCGGCACUGGUGGCUCCUGGCUGACUGGCAGCUCCUGGCUGACUGGCAGCUCCUGGCUGACUGGCAGCUCCUGGCUGACUGGCGGCUCCUGGCUGACUGGCGGCGCUGGGCAGACUGGCGGCACUGGCGGCGCUGGGCAGACGGGUGGCUCAGGCGGCGCUGGGCAGACUGGCGACACUGGCGGCUCCUGGCUGACUGGCGGCGCUGGGCAGACUGGCGGCGCUGGGCAGACUGGCGGCGCUGGGCAGACGGGUAGCUCAGGCGGCGCUGGGCAGACUGGCGACACUGGCGGCUCCUGGCUGACUGGCGGCUCCUGGCUGACUGGCGGCGCUGGGCAGACUGGCGGCACUGGCGGCGCUGGGCAGACUGGCGGCACUGGGCAGACUGGCGGCGCUGGGCAGACUGGCGGCGCUGGGCAGACUGGCGGCGCUGGGCAGACUGGCGGCACUGGGCAGACUGGCGGCACUGGGCAGACUGGCGGCACUGGACAGGCGGGAGCGCCUGUGUUGAUGGGACGGAGAGACAGCCUGGUGCGGGGUGCCUGCACUGGUGGUACCGUGCUGGGGACACACACCUCAGGGCGAAUGCCUUGCAUACUACGCCAAAUCAACUGCUCUCUCUCUUCACACUCCCCCAAUUCUAUUAACACCUCCUCGAGUGUCUCCUCAUCUCCCAUCCGUUCACUCUCCUCCAUUCUGUCCAAUAACUCCUCGACCUUCUCAGACUCAGCCCUCAGCUUUGCCGAUAGCUCCGAUAACA
ensembl:lncRNA